rnacentral:lncRNA from 1 species
GGAUUGCACCCCUGUUCCAGUAUGGCUGCUAUCAUCCCCAUUUUGAUCGUCACUGUAGUGUCAAAUGUUUCUGGAAUGCUCGCUAUACCAUUGUGGGGACAUGACAAACUCUGUUGCACAACUCUGGCAGCUGAGGACGAUUUGAGCUUGUGGGAGUGACAAACUGUGCGACCCUGAUAUAGCCACCUGAUGGCUGUGAGCUCCCUUCAGGAAAGGCUCUAUCCUAUUUAGGGACGCAUGACAAUCUCUGUACAACCCUGAUAAAAGCAGCUCAUUACAAGAAAGGGCUGUCCCAUCAACUAAGCAAGCUAAAGGUGACUGGAAAGGCACCAAAACUCCACCAAUUGACAGAAAUUGAGAAGAAACUUGGGACGAGUUCUCCUUUGGCUUAAUAAAUGAAGAGUCGGAGCUGAAGUUGUCAAGUGGAAGAUUGGCUUUGGUGUUCUUCUGCAUAAAUGAAUAAAUGAAUUGAUAUGCAUUGCACUUUGGUUUGCAAGUCAAUGAACAGAUACAUUUCAAAAACAGACAUGUAGGAGGAUUUAGAAUGGAUGAAAAUAACCUAAAUAAAAGAUUGAUAAAGCUC